rnacentral:lncRNA from 1 species
ACUAAGCAUCAUCUCAACUAUUCUCUAAUUCAAAAUUUUAUAAUCUCUAACAUUGACUUCUCUCUCCUCUAGCUACAAAUUUCCGAAUGGUGUGGGGAGAAUUAAUUCCUUGUAGCUAUUCUAAUCCUUUUCCAAUUGAUCUGUUAGUUUUAGCUUAGAUCUUGCCUUAACUUAGCCCUCUCUCUUCUCCUUCCUUUGUUAUUUUAAUCACAUUCUCUUAAAUCUAGAUCUCCCCAAUCCAAGGAGCAACCCCAUUUGGUAUUAAAAAAGGUUUUAAGCAAAGAGAAGUCCAAGAUAGGGGAGAUCCCAAUGGAUAUCCUCUAAAGAGAAGGAAACAAACCAGAUCAUGUUGAUCUAUCAUUAGAGAAGCUCCCUACUUUUCUUCUUGUAUUUUCUUUACUUUCUUGUGAUCUCAAGCAAUUCAUAUCAUAUAAUUGACUUGAAUUGAUUGAAAUUUCUUGCUCCUUGAUAAUGAAAAUACUUUUUCUUUUCUUGCCUACUCUAACUCAAUUCUUAAAUGCUAGUUGAGUAGCUUGUAGAUUUUUACAUUCCUUUUGCUUUUUAGCAUUUAAGUAGGUAGAUAGGAUCCAAUAUCCCUUGAUUUUACUUCUUACAAAUCCUUGUACCAUCUAAGUCCUAAUUGUAUCAUUGGUGUGCUUAAGGGCUAAAUUCUGGGUGUCUAAUCUCCUAGACAUUAUGUGCUUACUCAGUAGAUGUAUGGUACAUAUUCCUAGGCCCUUCCAUAUAAGAAAGAUGGGCCUAGGCCAUUGUGUCUAGGGCUAGUGGGUGCCUCACAUUAAACCUUUACCUU